UACGGAGGGUGCGAGCGUUAAUCGGAAUUACUGGGCGUAAAGGGUGCGUAGGUGGUGAGAUAAGUUAUCUGUGAAAGCCCUGGGCUCAACCUGGGAAGGUCAGAUAAGACUGUUUUACUUGAGUAUGGGAGAGGGUAGUGGAAUUUCCGGUGUAGCGGUGAAAUGCGUAGAGAUCGGAAGGAACACCAGUGGCGAAGGCGGCUACCUGGCCUAAUACUGACACUGAGGCACGAAAGCGUGGGGAGCAAACAGG
rnacentral:rRNA from 1 species